ensembl:lncRNA
UUUAGACAUUUUCGUCAGACGAGAACUAGACGAGACUAAAUUGUUAGUGAGUGGACGAACAAAGUUUCAAAACAUGCUUUUUUCCCGCCAACUAUAAUAUGCGCGCAAUGUCAAUCAAGAGCUCAGACGUCACGAGGCACACACACACACACACACACACACACACACACACACACACACACCAUGGCAGCAGCAGCAGUGGUGCCGGGUGCGGGUGGGUGGUCGUAAGAAGAGGGAUGAUUUAUGGUCCCACUUCAGAUACAGCCCACAGGCCAAUGCCACAGAAUGCCUUGUACGGGCAGUACGGGGACAGGGAGCCGAGUCGAACGACGGUCACGGAGACGAAGCCACGACCGUCACCACAACUUCAUGCUGCGGCUUCAAACUCGCAGGAAAAAAUACCACAAACCUCAAAAGGCACCUGAAGGCCAGCCAUCCUGCUAUUUUUGCGAAGAUCCCAGCGAGCAUAACCCCAAAGAAGAAACCAAGUGGAGUGCAGCAGCAGACCUCCUUAGAAAAGUCAUUUGCAGCGGCAACGAAAUAUGACGAGAACGAUCGGGAACAACUGAGAAAAGAAAUGGCAAUUGCUUUAUGGAUCGGUCGGACAGGGCUUCCUGCUUCCAUUGUGGAGGACGAAGAAUUCAUCCUCAUGAUUGAGAAGUUUGACAAGAGACUGACCAUCCCAAAAAGAACUUAAGUGAACAAUUUAAUUGAUAAAGUAUACCUUGAUGCCAAACUAAAAUUCAGAGAGCAGCUUGCCACAGCACAAAGGAUCACCAUUGGCCUGGACAUAUGGUCCAAGAAAGGCCUCACAGCCUCAUUUCUUGCCAUCAGUGCCUGCUACUAUUGCCCAGACGACAAAAAAGCAUGUCACAUAUUAUUAUCUCUGAUCCAGCUUACUCAUCCACACACGGCAGAGAGCAUAAAAACCUGUGUUGACCGGUGCACAGAAGACUGGGGUGUACCGCAAAACAAAAUACUGACAGCCAUAACGGACAACGGGAGCAACAUGGUAGCUGCAUUCAAACCUGUAGAGGAGGAGGAGAGUGAGAGCAGCAUGGAGGACGACUCCCAGGAGAGCGACAGUGAAGACCCUGUGCUGGCUACAGACGAACAGAGGUAUGGACUGAUGGUGAGGACCCCCUGCGUCAUCCACACGCUACAGCUGGUGGUUGGCAUGAUAAAAAAAGAAACAAGUGUUAAUAAACUUCUAGAUAAGGUCCGUUCACUGGUGAAGCUCUUCCGAAAAUCUUCCGUAGCAACUGAGAGGCUAUUGAAGGAGUGCAAAUUAACUCUGGUGAAGGACUGCCCCACUAGGUGGUCGAGCACCUACAUUAUGAUCAACCGGCUUCUUCAAGUAAAGGACUCGGUUGUGAAAGUUGCGGAUGGCAUGACGUGGGACUAUCUCCUACCAAGUGAAUGGCAAAAGCUGACCGCUGUGAAAGAAUUGCUCUCCCCCUUUGCUGAGCAUACACAGAUGCUGCAAAGCGACACACAGAGUCUGUCCCUUGUCAUUCCUGCCCUUCUUGACCUACAAGCUCACCUGUCUGACAUACUUGAUGAGCAGGGUCAUACUUUCAAGGACCUAGGGUCCUUGGCAGUAAAGAUGAGGGCCAACAUAGAGCUGCGAUUCGGCUGCUUUCUUGACAGCACGCACUCCAAAUUCUCACCCCUUGCUGCUGCUGCUUGCUUCCUCGAUCCAACAGAAUCACUCCUCACGAAUGAUGAUUUACAAAUUCAGGACAUUCUGAGAAAAGCGCAAGAGUACAUUGUUCAGUUGGUUCCACCAGUAGUUCGUGAGGAGGAGGAGGAGGCUGAGGAAUCGGAGAAGGGAGAAGGAGCAGCAGCCGAACCACUGAAAAAGCGGUCAAGAUUUAAAUAUUUUUCCAAAACACACCGACCAUCCAAGUCUAGCCGGCCAAAACCGUGCGUCAGGCAUGAAAUGGAGAAGUAUAAGCAGGAACUGUCCCACUUAACUGAAGAAGAGUGCUCAAGUGCCCUUGAGUUUUGGAUUGCACAGCCGGAUCAUGCAUAUCCUCUCCUGAAACCCAUUGCCUUAGAUAUUAUAGCCAUGCCUGCCUCUCAAGCAUUUGCCGAGAGAGUGUUCAGUGUUACAGGUGACCUCAGUCGUGGUCGUCGCAACAGAGCCAGAGUCAUUUUAGAGAGAAGUGCUUUCCUCAAAUUGAACCGGUAGGCUACUGAGGCUACCUCGGCCCAGUUUAUACUGGCAGCUUAAAUCUGGCCUGAAUCAGAUCUGUGUCAGAUCUACAAGCUCCAAUGUUGUGAUGUGACCCAUGUGGAGCUUGUAUGUCUGAUCUGAUCUGCCGCAGAUCUGAUUCGGGCCAGAUUCAGGCCGCCAGUGUGAACCUAGUAGUGGCAAGUUACUUGACUUAGUUGACUUGUAUCAUUGAUUGUACAGAUUGUAUUGCGCUUCCAUGUUGGUUCUGUUUGGUUGCCUUAAAUAUUUGUAUUUGCAGAGCUGGUUGCCUUAAAAUUUCUGUUUUUAUGUAUGCAGAUCUUUGUUUUGUUUGAUCUUUACAUAUUUGGAAAUCCAUUCAUGGCCAUGUUGGGAUUUUAAUGUCUCUAUAACUUGACUUGUGGUUGUGAAACUUGUUUGUUAAGAGUAAGAUUACUGUUCCCCAACCCCUCAUAUUUUAGUAGAAUUGCACUAGGAGCCACAUUGUGUUACCCUCCUACUUCAAGUUCAUGUGAAGUCAAGUGAGCUUUAUUUUUGUUUAAUCAUAUUUUAUUGUGAUACAAUACUCAUUGUGUGCCAUUGUGUUGUCUGCAACAAAAUAAUAAAAGAAAAGGUAGAGAAAAAAGUCGAGAAAAAAAAAA